UCAGGCCUAACACAUGCAAGUCGAGCGGCAGCGGGAAAGUAGCUUGCUACUUUUGCCGGCGAGCGGCGGACGGGUGAGUAAUGCCUGGGAAAUUGCCCAGUCGAGGGGGAUAACAGUUGGAAACGACUGCUAAUACCGCAUACGCCCUACGGGGGAAAGCAGGGGACCUUCGGGCCUUGCGCGAUUGGAUAUGCCCAGGUGGGAUUAGCUAGUUGGUGAGGUAAUGGCUCACCAAGGCGACGAUCCCUAGCUGGUCUGAGAGGAUGAUCAGCCACACUGGAACUGAGACACGGUCCAGACUCCUACGGGAGGCAGCAGUGGGGAAUAUUGCACAAUGGGGGAAACCCUGAUGCAGCCAUGCCGCGUGUGUGAAGAAGGCCUUCGGGUUGUAAAGCACAUUGAGCGAGGAGGAAAGGUUGUUGGCUAAUACCCAA
rnacentral:rRNA from 1 species